GUUUAUAAGUCCUGCCAACAAGCUACAGGGUCAUUUCAAGCAAGAACAAAGCGGCAACAACUGGGAACACGACGCAAGCACAAGGCCAAAUGAAGUCGUUUUUGGUGUUAGUUAUUCUCGGCCUCAUCCUAGUGAACCUUGCCCACCCGAUUCAAGGCCAAUGGUCCCAAUCCCUUGGUUGGGGUGGCGCUGGCGGUGGCAAGAGAUCUCAGGGUGUGUCGAACAAAUGUCAGGAACAUAGCUUAGCGCUGCGAGAAAUGGUUUCCAAGCUAAUUGAGUUAGAAGCGAUGAGGUUGAUCCGCUGCCAGGGAGAGUCCGUAUCACAGGACAAAGCACGAUAACAUGGAUAAAGUUAGAGGAUUUGCAUCAUCAAGAUUACUAGAAGACAGCAACGUUAUACGUCGUCUCUCUCGCUAGACAUUUUUUAUGAAAUGAAAAAUUGACUGAAAACCUAAACGCAAUGUCGUAGUCAUCAUUGAAGGGCAGUCACUCUCAAUGCGGGACGAUCUCUUUGCUCGAACAGCAUCUGACGGCGCUUGGUGUUAAUUCAAAAUUAGACCAGCGCAUAUAUCGCAGCAUGGAAACAUUCUAACUUUACUUCCUUCGGUCUCCUAUGCACCAGAUCUUUGGAACACAUCUCAUAUCAAAGGGAAAUGGUAUCAUCACUGGAAACCUUGCAACUGUACGAUUGCAUUAUUCAGCACACUCUUAGAAUUGAUUUUGUCCCUUUUGAGAUUCUGAAAAGUCUCUAAGAGUUCGCUAAAAAAACAUGCGGUUAGCACAUCAUAGUAAAGGGUCUAAACCCCAACCGUUGUUGCUAAGAGUGUAGAGUUGUUGACUUCUUCCUGACGGUAUACGACUCCCAACUGUCAGGGUGAAAUAUAACAUCACAGUUGGGAACCGUUGCAGUCAUGAUCAAACAACUCUGGUAAUCUAGUGUUUCCUGAACUGCUGGUGUUAUGUACUUUCUAUGAGCCCAUUCAUGUGUUAUAUACUGUAUUUUAGUUAAAUGGACAAACUUAUAAGGACAUGAGGCAGUUCUCUGAUAAUAAACCUCUCUGAUAUUUUGA